AACCUUAUGGACCUGCGGGCGUAUACCUGCGGAGGGAUCAUUACAGAGUUGCAAGACUCCCUAAACCAUUGUGAACCUACCUUCUACCGUUGCUUCGGCGGGCGGGCCCAGCGCCCCCCCGGCCCCCCGCGGGCGCCCGCCGGAGGAUACCCAAACUCUUGACAUUAGUGGCCUCUCUGAGUAUUCUUUACUGAAUAAGUCAAAACUUUCAACAAUGGAUCUCAGAUCGGAAGAGCACAC
rnacentral:misc_RNA from 1 species